rnacentral:rRNA from 1 species
CCCUUUGCGCCGGCCUACACAUGCAGUCGAGCGGAACGAGUUAUCUGAACCUUCGGGGGACGAUAACGGCGUCGAGCGGCGGACGGGUGAGUAAUGCCUAGGAAAUUGCCCUGAUGUGGGGGAUAACCAUUGGAAACGAUGGCUAAUACCGCAUGAUGCCUACGGGCCAAAGAGGGGGACCUUCGGGCCUCUCGCGUCAGGAUAUGCCUAGGUGGGAUUAGCUAGUUGGUGAGGUAAGGGCUCACCAAGGCGACGAUCCCUAGCUGGUCUGAGAGGAUGAUCAGCCACACUGGAACUGAGACACGGUCCAGACUCCUACGGGAGGCAGCAGUGGGGAAUAUUGCACAAUGGGCGCAAGCCUGAUGCAGCCAUGCCGCGUGUGUGAAGAAGGCCUUCGGGUUGUAAAGCACUUUCAGUCGUGAGGAAGGUGGUGUAGUUAAUAGCUGCAUUAUUUGACGUUAGCGACAGAAGAAGCACCGGCUAACUCCGUGCCAGCAGCCGCGGUAAUACGGAGGGUGCGAGCGUUAAUCGGAAUUACUGGGCGUAAAGCGCAUGCAGGUGGUUUGUUAAGUCAGAUGUGAAAGCCCGGGGCUCAACCUCGGAAUUGCAUUUGAAACUGGCAGACUAGAGUACUGUAGAGGGGGGUAGAAUUUCAGGUGUAGCGGUGAAAUGCGUAGAGAUCUGAAGGAAUACCGGUGGCGAAGGCGGCCCCCUGGACAGAUACUGACACUCAGAUGCGAAAGCGUGGGGAGCAAACAGGAUUAGAUACCCUGGUAGUCCACGCCGUAAACGAUGUCUACUUGGAGGUUGUGGCCUUGAGCCGUGGCUUUCGGAGCUAACGCGUUAAGUAGACCGCCUGGGGAGUACGGUCGCAAGAUUAAAACUCAAAUGAAUUGACGGGGGCCCGCACAAGCGGUGGAGCAUGUGGUUUUAAUUUCGAUGCAACGCGAAGAACCCUUACCUACUCUUGACAUCCAGAGAACUUUCCAGAGAUGGGAUUGCUGCCUUUCGGGAACUCUGAGACAGUGCUGCAUGGCUGGUCGUCAGCUCGUGCUGUGAAUGUUGGUUCAGGUCCGGCACGAGCGCAAGCCGUUAUCCUGCUUGCCAGCGAAGUAAUGUUCACA